GUUAUCCGGAAUUAUUGGGCGUAAAGCGCGCGCAGGUGGUUUCUUAAGUCUGAUGUGAAAGCCCACGGCUCAACCGUGGAGGGUCAUUGGAAACUGGGAGACUUGAGUGCAGAAGAGGAAAAGUGGAAUUCCAUGUGUAGCGGUGAAAAUGCGUAGAGAUAUGGAGGAACACCAGUGGCG
rnacentral:rRNA from 1 species